rnacentral:rRNA from 1 species
UACGUAGGGGGCAAGCGUUGUCCGGAAUCAUUGGGCGUAAAGCGCGUGUAGGCGGUUCGAUUAGUCUGCUGUGAAAGUCGGGGGCUCAACCCUCGAAUGCCGGUGGAUACUGUCGGGCUAGAGUGCGGAAGAGGCGAGUGGAAUUCCUGGUGUAGCGGUGAAAUGCGCAGAUAUCAGGAGGAACACCAAUUGGCGAAGGCAGCUCGCUGGGACGUUACUGACGCUGGAGACGCGAAAGCGUGGGGAGCAAACAGG